rnacentral:rRNA from 1 species
GUACACUCCUGCGGGAGGCAGCAGUGGGGAAUAUUGGACAAUGGGCGCAAGCCUGAUCCAGCCAUGCCGCGUGAGUGAUGAAGGCCCUAGGGUUGUAAAGCUCUUUCACCGGUGAAGAUAAUGACGGUAACCGGAGAAGAAGCCCCGGCUAACUUCGUGCCAGCAGCCGCGGUAAUACGAAGGGGGCUAGCGUUGUUCGGAUUUACUGGGCGUAAAGCGCACGUAGGCGGACUAUUAAGUCAGGGGUGAAAUCCCGGGGCUCAACCCCGGAACUGCCUUUGAUACUGGUAGUCUUGAGUUCGAGAGAGGUGAGUGGAAUUCCGAGUGUAGAGGUGAAAUUCGUAGAUAUUCGGAGGAACACCAGUGGCGAAGGCGGCUCACUGGCUCGAUACUGACGCUGAGGUGCGAAAGCGUGGGGAGCAAACAGGAUUAGAAACCCGUGUAGUCC